UGGGGAAUAUUGCACAAUGGGCGAAAGCCUGAUGCAGCGACGCCGCGUGAGGGAUGGAGGCCUUCGGGUUGUAAACCUCUUUCAGUAAGGGUGAAGGCUCUCUUUUGUGGAGGGUUGACAGUACUUGCAGAAGAAGCGCCGGCUAACUACGUGCCAGCAGCCGCGGUAAUACGUAGGUGGCAAGCGUUGUCCGGAAUUAUUGGGCGUAAAGCGCGCGCAGGUGGUUUAGAAAGUCUGAUGUGAAAGCCCACGGCUCAACCGUGGAGGGUCAUUGGAAACUAAUAAACUUGAGUGCAGGAGAGAAAAGUGGAAUUCCUAGUGUAGCGGUGAAAUGCGUAGAGAUUAGGAGGAACACCGGUGGCGAAAGCGGCUUUUUGGCCUGCAACUGACACUGAGGCGCGAAAGCGUGGGGAGCAAACAGG
rnacentral:rRNA from 1 species